rnacentral:rRNA from 1 species
UACGUAGGGCGCGAGCGUUGUCCGGAAUUAUUGGGCGUAAAGGGCUCGUAGGCGGUUUGUCGCGUCGGGAGUGAAAACUCGGGGCUUAACCCCGAGCCUGCAGUGGAUACGGGCAGACUAGAGGUAGGUAGGGGAGAAUGGAAUUCCCGGUGUAGCGGUGAAAUGCGCAGAUAUCGGGAGGAACACCGGUGGCGAAGGCGGUUCUCUGGGCCUUACCUGACGCUGAGGUGCGAAAGCGUGGGGAGCAAACAGG